UGGCGCGCAUGCUCGCUGCCGCGGGCCUUGAUCAGGUUCGCGCUCAGGUGCUCGCCGAUCACCUCGCCGGCGUACAGGCCGCGGAAGAGGCCGCAGAGCAGUACCUUCCCAGUCCUCAGAAGGCCCUGCUCUGGGUCUCUCCCCCAGCUGCAUCCUGCACAGAGUGAGGAGACCGUGCCCAGCCUCCAGUAGGCUUCACACCCAGUGCAGAGCCCAACGCGGGGCUGGAGCUCACGACCCUGCGACCCCCACCUGAGCUGAGAUCGAGAACAGCGAUCAGAGCAGCUAACCAACUGAGCCACCCAGGGGCCACCACAGGCUUCUUUUUGAAAGCCUCCUCCCGUCGCUGACCGGGGUGUGCACCGAGGAGCAGGCUGCAGUCUCCAGGACCAGCGGCCACUCCUCCGUCGUCGUCAUCCUUGGCCUUUCAGCACUGUCUGCCGCCGCCUUGUCCUCUCUGGCCUUGCUCUCCCUCCUCUCCUCUGCCUCCAUCUCCAUCCUGUCCCUCGGCGACUGGCCUCUCUCUGCCUGAGAAGCUGGGUUCAUCCCUGAUUCGGCCUCCAGCAUUCAGCUUCCGUUUGCCCUCUGACUGAACGAACUAAGUGAAUGGCCCCACUGGUAAUUCCUGCCGGCUCCCCGGUCAGACUCCAUCCAGAACCCUACCGCUUCUCAUGACCUCCACGCCUCCCGCCAAGGUCUGAGCCACCAUCUGCCUCACCUGAUUCCUGCGCGAGCCUCGCCGCCCGGCUCCCUGCGUCAGCCCUGGUCCCUCCAUGAUACUCCUUCCUGCAGCCAGAGUGACUCCUUUAAAACAUGGGUUGGAUCGUGUCCCUCUUUGACUUGAAAUCUUCCAAGUGCUCCCCAUCUCUCCCAGCGUAAAAGUGGAAAGGAAAACCCUUAGAAGGCCCAGCAGAACCUGGUCCCCGUUACCUCUGGUCUCCUCUCGUUAUCUCUCCCAGACAUACUCCUGCCUCAGGGCCUUGACACUGCCUGUCCCUUCUGCCUAGAAUCCUCUUCCCCAGAUAUCUCCGAAUGGCUCUCUUACACGUCUUUGCUCAAAGGUCGGUUUCCCUGUAAGGUCCAACCCAUUUAAAAUGUAACUGUCUCCCUUCUAGAAUUCCCUCACCCUACACACCUUGUAAUACACAGUUCACUUCUUA